rnacentral:rRNA from 1 species
UACGAACUGUGCGAACGUUAUUCGGAAUCACUGGGCUUAAAGGGUGCGUAGGCGGUUUGUUAAGUCAGGUGUGAAAUCCCCCAGCUCAACUGGGGAACAGCGCUUGAAACUAGCAGACUUGAGUGAGGUAAGGGUGUGUGGAACUUCCAGUGGAGCGGUGAAAUGUGUAGAUAUUGGAAGGAACGCCGGUGGCGAAAGCGACACACUGGGCCUUGUCUGACGCUGAGGCACGAAAGCUAGGGGAGUGAACGGG